rnacentral:rRNA from 1 species
CCUACGGGCGGCUGCAGUGGGGAAUAUUGGACAAUGGGGGGAACCCUGAUCCAGCCAUGCCGCGUGUGUGAAGAAGGCCCUCGGGUUGUAAAGCACUUUCAGUGAGGAAGAACACCUGGUGGUUAAUACCCAUCAGGAAAGACAUCACUCACAGAAGAAGCACCGGCUAACUCCGUGCCAGCAGCCGCGGUAAUACGGAGGGUGCGAGCGUUAAUCGGAAUUACUGGGCGUAAAGCGCGCGUAGGUGGCUUGAUAAGCCGGUUGUGAAAGCCCCGGGCUCAACCUGGGAACGGCAUCCGGAACUGUCAAGCUAGAGUGCAGGAGAGGAAGGUAGAAUUCCCGGUGUAGCGGUGAAAUGCGUAGAGAUCGGGAGGAAUACCAGUGGCGAAGGCGGCCUUCUGGACUGACACUGACACUGAGGUGCGAAAGCGUGGGUAGCAAACAGGAUUAGAUACCCCGGUAGUC